AGGCCUUGUCCAGACUUGAGACUUGUAACAAGGACUGAUUUCAUAUCCUGAGAGAGGAGAAAGAUGAGCACAGCCGAGAUAAACAUUCAACCAAGCAAGGUCUCCUGCUCACAAAGCAUCUUCCCUAGGAGUGCUGCAUUUAAAAACACCUAAACUUCAGAGCCUGACACUACAGCUCUUGAGGGUGGUGGUAGCAGGAUGGACAAGGACUGAACCAACAAACAAACAAGGAAGGAACUCCUCUGAAACUUUCCAGAUCGAAAAGCACACACAGAAUUUUCUUUUCAAGAGGUUUUAAUGAAGAGUCAUAUUUUUAAACCUCUCACACUGUAUAACACAUUUAACUGUACAUCAAGCUCAGAUAAAAAAUAAAGCUUUCUUACAAAGUACGUUUUUCCAGUGAUUUUUUCCUUUUUUUUUUUUUUUUUUUUGCAGUAAAAAUAGCU